GCCUCUGUAGUUUAAUGGAUAAAACACAGGUUUCCGGAACCUGGGCUGGGAGUUCGAUUCCCCCCGGAGGCACCA
rnacentral:tRNA from 1 species